AGGGAUCAUUACAGAGUUGCAAAACUCCCACCAACCAUCGCGAAUCUUACCCGUACGGUUGCCUCGGCGCUGGCGGUCCGGAAGGCCCUCGGGCCCCCCGGAUCCUCGGGUCUCCCGCUCGCGGGAGGCUGCCCGCCGGAGUGCCGAAACCAAACUCUUGAUAUUUUAUGUCUCUCUGAGUAAACUUUUAAAUAAGUCAAAACUUUCCACAACGGAUCUCUUGGUUCUGGCAUCGAUGAAGAACGCAGCGAAAUGCGAUAAGUAAUGUGAAUUGCAGAAUUCAGUGAAUCAUCGAAUCUUUGAACGCACAUUGCGCUCGCCAGUAUUCUGGCGAGCAUGCCUGUUCGAGCGUCAUUUCAACCAUCAAGCUCUGCUUGCGUUGGGGAUCCGCGGCUGCCCGCGGUCCCUCAAAAACAGUGGCGGGCUCGCUAGUCACACCGAGCGUAGUAACUCUACAUCGCUAUGGUCGUGCGGCGGGUUCUUGCCGUAGAACCCCCCAAUUUCUAAGGUUGACCUCGGAUCAGGUAGGAAUACCCGCUGAACUUAA
rnacentral:rRNA from 1 species